GUCGGCGUGACGGAAUCGGGUGACGUGCCGCACCAGCGGCCCCGAAAGGGUGCGGGUUCGACCCCUGCCGCCGGCC
rnacentral:tRNA from 1 species